UUGCUGACGAGUGGCGGACGGGUGAGUAAUGCUUGGGAAUCUGGCUUAUGGAGGGGGAUAACUACGGGAAACUGUAGCUAAUACCGCGUAAUAUCUUCGGAUUAAAGGGUGGGACUUUCGGGCCACCUGCCAUAAGAUGAGCCCAAGUGGGAUUAGGUAGUUGGUGGGGUAAAGGCCUACCAAGCCGACGAUCUCUAGCUGGUCUGAGAGGAUGACCAGCCACACUGGAACUGAGACACGGUCCAGACUCCUACGGGAGGCAGCAGUGGGGAAUAUUGCACAAUGGGGGGAACCCUGAUGCAGCCAUGCCGCGUGAAUGACGAAGGCCUUCGGGUUGUAAAGUUCUUUCGGUGAUGAGGAAGGGUGGUGUUUUAAUAGAACAUUACAUUGACGUUAGUCACAGAAGAAGCACCGGCUAACUCCGUGCCAGCAGCCGCGGUAAUACGGAGGGUGCGAGCGUUAAUCGGAAUGACUGGGCGUAAAGGGCACGCAGGCGGUGACUUAAGUGAGAUGUGAAAGCCCCGAGCUUAACUUGGGAAUUGCAUUUCAUACUGGGUUGCUAGAGUAUUUUAGGGAGGGGUAGA
rnacentral:rRNA from 1 species